rnacentral:rRNA from 1 species
GACAGAGGCCUCGAGCGUUAGGCGGAAUCACUGGGCUUAAAGCGUGUGUAGGCGGGCCCGUAAGUGUCUUGUGAAAUCCCACGGCUCAACCGUGGAACUGCUGGGCAUACUGCGGGUCUUGGGCCAACUAGGGGCAGCCGGAACAAGCGGUGGAGCGGUGAAAUGCUUAGAUAUCGGGAGGAACACCAGUGGCGAAGGCCGUGCUCUGGGCCGGAACUGACGCUGAGGAGCGAAAGCGUGGGUAGCAAACAGG